GCGGCGUGCUUACACAUGCAAGUCGAGCGAGAAAGCUCCUUCGGGAGUUAGUACAGCGGCGGACGGGUGAGUAAUACGUAAGAAUCUGCCCUUCAGUGAAGAAUACCCUUGAGAAAUCAAGUUUAAUGCUGCAUACGUCCCUUCGGGGAGAAAGAUGGCCUCUUUGCUGUCGCUGAAGGAUGAGCUUACGCGCUAUUAGUUUGUUGGUGAGGUAAAGGCUCACCAAGACAAUGAUGGCUAGCCGGCCUGAGAGGGUGUACGGCCACACUGGAACUUAGACACGGUCCAGACUCCUACGAGAGGCAGCAGUGAGGAAUAUUGCGCAAUGGGCGAAAGCCUGACGCAGCGACGCCGCGUGGGGGAUGAAGGUCUUAGGAUCGUAAACUCCUGUUAAGUGGGAAGAAAAACCUAACUCUAAUACAGUUAGGUAAUGACGGUACCAUUAAAGAAAGCACCGGCUAACUUCGUGCCAGCAGCCGCGGUAUACGAGGGGUGCGAGCGUUAUUCGGAAUUAUGGGCGUACAGGGUGUGUAGACGGCUUAUUAAGUUAUUGUUAAAUUCUUCGGCCUAGCCG
rnacentral:rRNA from 1 species